rnacentral:lncRNA from 1 species
CGUUAAUCAAAUCAAGCAAAUCGUGCUGGGUGGCUAGACCACUGUAAUUAAACUUUCUUUAAAAUCCACUCAUUUGGCUUUUGAUGAGGAUUUUGAUUAAGCUCUUCCAAAAUGUCUGGCCUGGUAUCUGCUUAAGAGGAAAAUAAGAACUUGCUCUAGUGAGCAAGUCAUUAAUUCAUCACUGUGCUACACCAACUCCUCACUGUCUUACCUAGCCAGUGUAUAAAGAAAUGUUUGAAAAUUGGCAGUGUAAAAUUAAAUGUUUUUUAUCAGUACACUCAGAUGAUAAAUCUAUUUGCAGUUUUAAAAUCAGUAACUUUGUUCCUGGAAUAUAAAGAGGGGCUGGAUAAGCAAGUCACAGCCAAUUGGAGGGCGCAUUGUGCUGCUGUUUACUGAUGCUACGAUAGCAAGAAACACAUCUGCAGAAAAUGACUGAAUACACAAUAAGAGUUUUGCAUGUGAAGACUGAACCAGUAAACAUCUGUCCUCUCACUGCUGUCACUCACAUUCUCAAAUAUUGGUUCUGCUCAAAAUAGCUGCAAUCCUCAAAUGGUACAGUCAGUUUGGCCUGAUCCUGAUGUAAGGAAUACAUUAUAAAGCAGGACGAGCCAAGGCUCCCACGUUUCUAAGCUUUCUUCCCCAUCAGAAAUAGGCUGAUUUCAUCCAGACCGCUUAUCGAGAACAGUCGUGGUACAUGGCAUGGCCCACACUCUGCCCCUGCACUGUCCUGGGAGGGAGCCAAACCCACAGAGAUUAGUGGUUGUGGACGGACCAGGGUUUGAUCCUAAACCCUGGCCUUGUUUUACGUGCCAGUAUGGACAUGAGUAGAGAGAAUUCCUUCUCUGCUGCUCCUCCUUUCUGCCGGUGCUUUCCUCUGCCUUCCCUGGUUGGCAGCCUAGAGCCCACACUUAGUAGCCCACCCUGACUUUACAUAGUGCUGCAGACUACUUCACAGACCCUUCAAAAUGUUGGUUUUGUAAACUCUGAGAUGCUCUUCAGCUUUACUUUACAUUAAAGCUGUGUGGCUAAGCUAUCAGUUGGUAAAACUAAAAGCGCCUGAAGGAAGUGAUUCUACAUGGUAGUGCACCUUCAGUUUUCAUUUACUGUUAGUGUCUUUAUUGUGACUUCUUCUCGUAUUAACGUGUCCCUGAGUGAGGAGUUUGUUAUCACUUCUCAUCUAUGAGAGAAAUUGAAUUCCUUAUCCGUAAAAUGGAAGAUCAGUCUCAGAAGUAGAGUGCUGAACACUUGCAAGGACUGUGUGGAUAGAAAAUGACAUGACAAAAAUAGUGGUCACCCUGGGACGAAUAAAGGCAGCUAGGGACAGAGUUGAUGGAAGUAGAUUUUUCAAAUACAAAGUCAAUAUGACUGACCCUGAAGUUUUGGAAGAGAAAUUCCAUCUUCCUAGUAGAUAUGAAAGCAUUUAAUAUUUUUCACUUUGUAGCCACUUCACCUAAGAGAGCCCCUUAAGUUGUACGAAUAUGAAAUGGAAUAACAGCCAAGUGACUAAAUGAAAGCAGAGUGGGACAUUAAAAUGAACAAAGUGCACGGGAGCAGAGGAGUCUGGUUUGAAUUCUUACAGUAAGUAUAUCAAAAUGUAGAAAGCAUCAGGAAGAAGCAACGUUGAAAUAACGAUGUAGAAUUUUUCAUGGAACUGACACAGAAUAAGUUCUGUGAAGCUGAUUAGCUUGGGUAGUCUGUAAGACAUCUGAGUUGAUCCUGGCCACCACCACCACCAUUUCACUGAUCUUUCUCAGAAUCACAUUUGACUUUUCUGUUGCAUGUGUGUUCCAGUUCAUUCUUCAGGAGGAAUUCUUUAAUCUGGACUAUUUUAGCCCAAUUCUCUGAGGACCUGUGUGCAGAAUACAUACUGUUAGUCCAUUUCCUUUCAACAAAGGAGAGGGGGCUGCAUUCAUCACAAAUGCACUGCUGCUUCCCAUGCUCCAGAAGGCAGAUCUUGGCUCUGUGACCGGCAAGUGAUUCACCAGAAACUUGGCCAGAGAGUGGAAACCUCUUUUUCUGGUCAUGUGAAUUCAGGCCACAGAGUUCUGCUCGAGGGCAAGAGAGCUCGUGCUUAACAUCUCUCCAGCACCUUCUCCUUCAUCAUUAGAGUUCAAUUUGAAAGGACAAAAGCCUGGCAACUCACUGAUAAAUAUUUUAAGGCUGGCAGAUAACCCAGCCAAAAGCACGAGUCCCAGCUGUCAAAACAGAAAACUUCUGCUUUACAAUAAAACAGAUUUCUGUUAUUUCUGACUGGCUAGGAUUCUUUUGCUUAGAUCAAGGGCAGUAAGCCAUUGAUCAAAAUUUCUUUUUCUUCUUCGCUUUUUUUGAUGUUAGGAAAUGCUUUCAAACUCCCCACAGAUAUUUCAAGUGUUGGCUUUGCUGCCAAGCAGGCUCUGAGAGCUCUUCCUCUUCUCUCCCCUCUCUCCCUCCUGCUUAUCUGCCUUGUAGCACUGUCGCAGGAUUUCUGAAGUGGCUGCAGUGGAUUUCUCUUACACUGUUUGGAGUGGCUCUGUGCUGUACUCCGCAGCCAUAAGGGGAAGCAGAUCCAGGGGAGGCGAGGAUGGAGAGUGCUUUAGCGUCAAGAGUUUCAGUUUAUCUCCUAAAUGGAAGCGAAGCUGCUUGCAUGCCAAGAUGCAGUGCUGUGCUGGCACUUGGAGAAGCCUAAUUUUACAACACAUAGGACCUAUAGGUUUUUGCCUAUAUCUAAAUCCUUAGUGCUGUUGGAAAAAAGUAGGGCUGACAAAAGGAAGAGCAUGCAAGGGAGCACUGGAGACAGAAGGCUGCAGGCAUGCGUGUGUGUCUGUGUGCGAGCAUCUUGGUGCUGGCAUUUCCCUGGCAUUGCCAUGCCAGCAGAGGGAAUGGCACAGUCCUGGCUCGCUGGAUCUGGCCAUGCUGGAGGAGCAGGCGGCAGGCAUCCUCUUGGGUUGGACAGGUGAAAGUUAAGCCCUUUAAGUUAUGGCACUGAUGAAAGACAUGGAUAUAUUCUGGCUAAGGCGUUGUCAGGGCCAUCCAAUGAGAAGGCAGAGGCAGCCCUGCUCCCCCACCCUCCAUUUGUCCCAUUACUUUCCUACUCUCUGCCUCAGGCUACAACACCCUGCAGGUGGGCUCCUGAGGAUCCCUCCUCCCCUCCUAAUAUCAAUUCCCACACACAGGUUAAGAAACAGAGUGCAAAUACUGUGCCUGACACCACCCCCAUCGCUUCCAACAAGGAUAAAACAGUUCCAGCAGAAAGCCACGCUAAAAAGUUGGAUGCCUUGAACACAGUGCAAGUCUGCAAGCAACUUGCAGUGCGUCAGAGUUGGUGGCAUCUCGGAGACUCAGGUCCCAUUUUCUUUCCCCAGUGGUUUUUCAAGUAUGAAUUUACUGGCCAGCAAGUCUUAAACUGCCAAGAGGUAACAGAGAUUCUUCACUGAAAUACGAAUACCUCAAGCACUAAAUACAGUUGUUUUAUGGGUACAAAGUUCAAACUUUGCUGUGAAAACUGACCAUAAUCAGCUUUUCAGUGUCCAUGUUUGUCUUUUUGGUCACAGAGGCACUGGUAUUUUUCUUUGCUUUGCUCUAUAGCUGCUCUAAUAGAUGGGUUAAAAUAGGAUCAACGCAGAAAUACUUCCACCAACUCCGAUAGAAUAACUACAUAAAUAAAUGACAUUGCAGCUUCUGUCCAACAUCAGCACUGUAUAAACAGCAGUUGGUAGCAGACAGCAGAUACCUGCAGCAUAUCUCUGUUUUUAUCGUGUAACUUGAGGGCAUCACCGAGUUGUAGCAGAGGGGUAUUCUUCUUAUUUUCCACAUUUUUGUUUAUUUUGCAUUGUGCAGUAGCAGCAGGAAGAUUCACCAGUCCUCAGCUUUUAGUUUGCCAAGUGGUAAAGCCAUUUUAAAUUCAGUCUGUUGGGUUGUUUUGGUUUUUUUUCUAUUGAUGCUCGUUGUGUGGUUUUUUUUUCUGGUCUGAAUGUCUCAUGCAUCAAGUAAUUCCCUUCAGACCAAGUCAGGACGUAGAGGCAGUGCUUGUCCCUGAUGGUCUACAGAAAAAUACUGUUAUUUUUCUCUAGAGAAAAGCUUGUCCUCAGGAAUUCAGAAAACACACCAUGCAGAAGUUGUUUUUCAGACACUUGAUCUGCAGGCUGCCUGUAACCGGUGAAUAUUGGGUGUAAAGUGGUCAAUCAUUUAGAAAAAAAGAUUAAUUAUAAAGACAGGACUCAUCGUUUUACAUUUUGCAUAUCUUUUCUUUGGUUCGUGCUCACCGAUACAUGUCUUUCACUUAAGACUACAGAAGCUGAAAUAUUAAUUCACCUCAAACUGUACUCAGCAGGCCAGCAGCAGACCAGCGUUGGCUUCAUCACCAGAUGCCCCAGGGAGAGAAGUAAUUUAAUAUGGGUCCACGGCCAACUUAUUUUACAGUAAAGUAAAUUUUCUGUGCUGUGUUUUUUAAUCCCUGUUCACAAUCAGUUCAGAACUGGCAUACUUAAAAAUGGAACUCGCUGGCUUUUUUGAUGACUUCAGAGAUCUCUAUUCCCUCCUAUACCACAUUAUGUUAUUCUUCAUAGUAUUAAUUUUGAGACAGGAGAGGUUGAAGUCAGGCAGGCAGAGCCUAUCGACAGAGCAGUGCGUGCUGUGGGAAGGGAAACUCAUAACCCAGGCUUUGAUCAGGACAUAAAAGACAAAACUGAUUUUCCAACUUCUUAAUUUUUUCUGGACAGGUUUUAUGUCUAAACCAGACACUUCUGCUUGGCAGGCUUAGGUGCAAUUUCUCUUCUUCCAGCCUGACUGAGCCCAGUUCCUACCCUUUGUCAACACAUACUGUUCUCUAGGUCUCUGAUAGUACUUUCUGCUGGAGACUCGGACAGUCUGCAGCUUGUUGGGGUCUGAAAGAGUAGUGCUACAGAGUGGAAUUCAGCUGACACUUUGUUAGCAGUCACUAGAAAAAAGUAAGAACUUUCAGUAGCUUACACAGGAAGUGCUUGUUAAUGUGUAUCCAGGUGCUAUUUGCCUUUUUCACAGCAGCAUCUUGACUCAGGUCCUGUUUGUGAUCCCAGGUCCCUUCCUGCAGGGCUGCUGGCUUACUGGUCAGUCCUCAUUUUGCAUCUGUGUGUUUGAUUUACCCUUCCAGGCAGUUGCACAUCAUGUUUGUCUUUCCAGAUUUCGCCAUGUUGUUUUAAAAGCAUUUCUCCACUUUAGGAAACUUGUUCUGAAUUCUUCUUAUUUGUCCUCUCAACUGCUUGCAGACUAACUCAGUGCCUACUGCAGGUUUUAGAAGUGCGGCUCUGUCUCAUUUACCACGUAAUUAACGACAAGAUUGAACAGCACUGGGCCUAAGACAAGCCCUGUUGGCACCUGUUUGAAAUGUUCUCCCAUUUGACAGCAAUUCAUUACCUGGAACAAGCUGCAAAGCAACCGGCAGCAGCUAGUUGUCUGUCUGCAGUUUGACUUCUUGUACAUAUGCUGCUGAGCUGGAAUAGAGAGAGCACUGAAAGGGAUCCUUCAAACACACAUGUUGCCGUCCUAGCAGGAGGAAGCUGAAAGGGCAAACCCAUAGAAGAUACUCAUCAUAUUGUCUGCUCAGCUGUAGGAAGACUGACAGAUACAUCAAUAGUAAUCAUAAGUACAGGAGCUUGACUAGAACUCAUGAUUGCUUUAACUAAUGGGCUACUAAUUCUCUUAUCUUUACGGGCAGAGACAUGGCAAUCAGCUGUGGUCAAACGGAGGACAGGAUGAUUCUAAAUCAAUGUUUACCCACAUUGUUUUGCUAAAAUGAAAAUAAGAAAGGCUGCCAGUCUUCAGGCAACAUCGUUUGAUCAACCACUAUGGUCAAGGGAAAUCUUCUAGCACUUAUAUUUGACUUGUGCAAAGGGCUUUUCAACUUCAUCUGUGAGACAGACUAUUAUGACAAAGCUGUCAUUUCUGCUCCAGCUCAGCCGUGAUUUUAUCUUUAUAUAGUUUCUAUCAUUUUCAGAUAUGAGGUCUAUGUCGCCAACACCUUCACAGGGGCUUUUUAAGCUUCUGUUUCAAAAUUGCCCAAUUUUUGCUGGUAGUUGGCAGGAUCCACCUUCAAUUUCAGGUCACUCUGUCCUCUAUCAGACAACUAGUUGGUAGAGCAAAGAGGAGUGUGCUGUGUACCUGUUACUGUUGCUGGUUAUUUGUGCACUGGUCACAUGUGAGAACACUGAGCAGACGUCACUGCCUCAUUGCCGAGCAGUUUAACUCAAUUGUAUUUAAUUACAUGGUCGUACUUGUAGGUCAUGUGUCAUGGAAGAAAAACUGGGUAAAACAGACAAAGGAAAGGAAGAUAGGAUGGAUGGUAGAAUGAAACAGAAUGAACUUAGCACAAAAGGAGAAAAAGACCACUGUGCUAUGGACUCCCCUUCCCUACUUGCGUCUUGGUUGUUCUGUUUGGUUUACAGCAGUCUGAGGUUUUUUCACUGAUGAUCCUUCUUGCUCUGAUCUUUAAUUUAAGAAAGGAGAAUAUUCUUCUUCCCAAGUCCUGACUUUGACGUAAGGAUAUUGCUUUUUUUUUUUCCAGCAAAUUGUCUUUGAUGGCUCCAUUUUUAUUUUUUAAGUAGCAAAAAGACAAAACUGGGAAGAAAGGUGAAGCCUGAUUGUUGCCGAAGAGAAGAUGCUGCUAUAACAAGUUCUGCCUGGUCUUAAGCAGCUUCUAGCAAGCUUUUUACUACCACAGAGCUUUAGUAGUAAUUGCCACCCAAGUGUUGUGAUUUGGAAAGCUACGGUGCCUUGGUUACUUCAUCAAGGCAUCUUUCGACAUUGACAGACACUUUUUAAUCCUUUAAAAUGAUUCUGGGUUUCUUUCUUCAUUUUUUAAACGGCAUUCACUUAAAGGAUGUUCAUGAGGGCAGGAGGAAGCAGGGGCAAGACCUGAUUUUUUUUCUAUAUGAAAUGCAUUAAGAAUAGUGCUUUCUGGAUGCUCCACUUUGAUGCUGUGGGAGCUGCCAAAACUGGAAGGCAAACUUUCAAGAGAGAGAAGUAUUCAUGUCCAUGACUUUGAUUGUGUCCAAAACCCCUUCUACAACGUCAGGUCACCUGGGAGCCAUCAGGGCCAUCUCCUUCCUACCCCUCGCCCAAGCAUUGCAAAGCCUAGCGCUCAUUUUCAGAAAUACGUUGCCCAAGCAAUAGGAGCUUCUGCCUUUGUAGCCUCUGGGCCAGAGUCCAUGUGGUUGUGAUAAGUUCUGUCAGUCUCAGCUGUCUCCUCAGUCUCUAGACAAAUGCAUCUUUUAUGAACCGGUGAAUUGUUUGUAGGAAUUAUUUCACUGUAAUGCACUACAGCGUCUGGUACACACAAAUCCUGCCAAUUUUUCAUUGUCCACAGGCAACCCUUUUCCCCUUCUGUAGGGAAUUGAUUUUGAGAGAAAAAUAUACCUGCUGCAAUGCCGGAAUUUUCCACAAGCAAUUUUCCCUCUGAGUGCCAACCACCCCAAAACUAUUUAGCUCGUUGGAAGUGCUGAAAUUACAGCCUGAGGUGGCAUAGCUGCUGCAACAAUAUCAACCAAGAGGGAAUAGACUCAUCAGUGACAAGGGACAAGAUGACCUCCACUAAUCCAAACCUUUUACCCACAUGUUUCUGCUUUCCAUAAAAAUACAAAUCUCACUUGUCUCUUAUUUAAUAAGAUUACAGAGCGAGACCGUGUGAUCUUCACUGCUUGUUUCUGAAAUGAAAUCCAUCCUUUGUGAAUGGGGAGAGCCAGAGCUAAGCAUGUCUAAGAUUGGAGUAUGUCAAAGCACAUCCUGAAUUCUGUCAUUGGUUCUCUUUCAUUCAAGUGUUUGCUGAGUGAGCUUCCUCUGGCUUUCUGCAAAAUGUGAGUGUUGCCCCUGGUGCUCCCCAAAACCAAUAAAUCUUUUUCAUUUCCUUGCAAGAGACAAGGAGCAGCAAACUAACCUGUCAGUCUAAAUCAUCACAUUUAAAAAUACUAAUUCUAUGCAGUCUACCAUUUACUGUGUUUGUAUGUCUUUUUCUCAUUUCAGAAUCCUGUGUUGUCAGUGAAGCUGUGAUAGAUUUUCCUCUAGCAUGAAUAAAUGAGCCUGACCUUUCAGAAAGGUGCUUGUACUCUGUCCAUCUGUUCCAUUCUCUAGAAACUACAUUUAAUCUUCCAGAGCAUCCUAAAUCAUUCAUUCAUAUACUGGUUUAGACAUUAAAAUAAAAUUUAAAAGAUUUGUAAUUUGCUGGGCUUCAGUUUAGGGUAGAUCUUCAAGACUUGGUCUGAUAUCAUGUCGGAGACCUCCAUGCUGACUCCAGGUAAGCCCUUGGUAUGUACAAUGGCAGUGUGACCCCAGAUUAGGAAGCCAAGCGUGCUACUGGAAGCAGCAGGGCAUCAUCAGCCCCAUUGCCGGUACUUCGGUAGCUUCUUUGUGCAGGGUGAGCUCUGCAGCCCUUGGUCUGUGCUGUGCUGCUCAUCAGAGAUAGAGCUGAGGAAUCUGCAGUUGCAGAAAGUGCUCUGGGGUUGCACUUUCAACCUUUUUGUCUCCCUUCCUUGGCUGACACUGCAUCCUGCUGGCUGCCUUUUGCACUCUCUCAGUCACCUGCAGCUGAUGAAGUUUCUGAACAGCUGAGUUUCCAAAGCUGGGACGGUACAGGGAAGGACUCGUUCCUGGCUUUGUCCUGUUUCCUAUGCUCUUGCCCAAAUAGCUUUGUUUCUUUAUUGUAGCAAUCGUCAUCACUGAUUUUAUGAUCUCUUCAUAGCAAGGUGGGGGCACCCUGUAUAUGCUCUAAGUACUGUUUCAUCUCCCUGUUUAGACUUCCUGAAGCAGAGAUUGGAUCCAUACCAUUAUUUUAACAGCCUUUACUAGAUCUGUUCUCCAUUAAUUUAUCUAAUCCCCUUUGAACCUGAUUUUACUUUUGGCUCCCACAAUCCUGGGUGCAGUAAUUCUGUAUUUAAUUAUGUGUUGUGUGAAAAAGUGCUUCCUAUUUUGUUUGUUUUGUUUGAGCCAUUUGACUGAUAAUCUCAUUACACUUCCUCUAAUUCCUGCACUGUGAGACACAACCGAUCUGUUCCCCAGUCACCUGCGCUGUGCAGUGAUGUAUUUUGUAGACCCGCCUUCACUGGGGAUUUGCAGCAUGUGCCCAGAUCUCCAAUGGACUAGGUUUUCCUUCUAGAAAUACGAGAUGAGGAAGCCUUGUGAGACUGAGCAUGAGCUAAUAGUUGUGUUGGAUUGUUGAGUGGGAAAAAGAAAUGAACGCCAAAUAUGUGCAAAGGCACCACGUCUACUCCCUUGUUUUGAGCUCCCAGAGAGGUUGCUCGCACUUGAAGGGAAGAGAUGGAUUAAACUCAGGAUUAAAACACAUCCAUCUGAGUUUGUGGUUACUUCCAGACAUACUGGCUGCUUGUAAAUAAGUGUAAAUGUUGCCAUGGACUUGGCUAGGACCAUAGUUUCAUCACUUUCUUUGGUGUUAUCAUAUUUCACUUUAUCAGCACACAAUUUUUAGUAACUUUAUCAAAGUAUUGGGUAGUUUUCAGUCCCCUGGUGCUCUCUUUCAGGAUUUCCCACUAAAAAAAUCACAAACUGUAAUCAGGGCAUGGAAUAAGUUGCAUAUCUUAAAGCUUUCCACCCUUUUCAUAACCAUCACCUAUUCCCUAUGUGACAGAUCAGGAAAAGCAGUGAAAUUAAAAAAUAAUAAUAAUCCAUCAGCUUCUCUCUCCAUCAAACACAGAAAGAAAGGCCAUAUCAGUUCAGCAAAUUAGCUGUCUCUCAUUCCCCAUAAAUAGUUUUAAAGUACCAGCAGAUUUCCUUCUGCCUUCUGCCUGUUAAGAACGCAGUAGAGUCCAGGAAGCCCACUGAGAGCUGAGUCUCUCUGCUUCCACUCCAGCUUUUUCCUCCCUGAAAAUUUGCCUUUAACUUUGCUCCAGUGUUUAAAAGAUCUAACAUUCCAUACAGAUUGAGUAUUCAAAUAUACUUUUAGAUUCCCCCUGUAUCUCUUUUAGUGCUCUGCAGAGCCUUGCAUCCACCUCAUUUCAACAAAAGCACGUGAUUAAGUGCCUGUGUGCUUUUCUGUACUGAUCUGAACUUAUUUAGUUUUGCAGUUUGGUUUUUGAAAGCUAUGAAACGCCCUGUGAGGCCUAACUUAUCAACACUUGAAAAUAUCUACGGGGCAGUAGUCCCUGGUCCCAAGUGGAUGGGACCAGGCUCUUUUCAGUGGUGCCUGGUGCCAGAACAAGGGGCAAUGGGCACAAACUGGAACACAGGAAGUUCCACAUGUACAUGAGAAAGAACAACUUUACUGUGAGGGUGAAGAGCAUUGGAGCAGGCUGCCCAGAGAGGUUAUGAAGUCUUCUCUGGAGAUAUUCAAAACCCACCUGGAUGCUUUCAUCUGCAAGCUGCUGUAGGGAUUGCGCUUUAGCACAGAGAGUUGAACUUGAUGAUCUCCAGAGAUCCCCUCCAACCCCAACAGUUCUGUGGUUCUGUGAUUAAUGACUUUAAUACUAGUUAGUUAUUUUACAAGUCAGUGACCAUAAGUCUAAUUGUGCAUGUACGUGUUACUAUUGCUGGAAUUUAAAAACUAAUGAUACAAUGAAUUCUUUUUGUCCCUUAGUCUGUUUAUUUACUGAGAGUAUAAUAGACUUCUGGCCGGAGUUAGUCGUCUCCAUUAAGAACUAUAUAUUUUACAGACACAUAGAUUGCUCUGAAAGUAAUGCCUCCUGUUUAUUUCCAUGGAAACUACAACAGAUAGAAAGAGCACAAUGACACUAUUCAGUAGAGCACAUUCUCAGCUACAAAACGCUAUUUUUCAACACAGUCACCACCAGUAGCUAUGCCUUUUUGCCAGUGUUGAACGAGAGCCUGCAUGCCUUGCUUUUAAUAAUAUGCAUCAGUGGAGGUGACCCACUGCUUCACAGCUGCUAUGAUUACGUCACUCCUAGGAAAAUGUUGCCCAUGCAGUCCAAUUUUCACUGUGUUGACAUCCACUGUUUGGUGUCCAUAAACGUUCAGCAAGAGUUGACGAAUGUCAGUGGGUGCCAUUUUCUCUGCAUGGAGGAAUUCAGUGACACACCUCUGCUUCAUCUGCACUUCCACAUCAGAUGCCACUGUGUCAGAGUGCCCCUCUGCUUCCAUCUGCCACACAGCAACAACAUGCUACAGAAUAUUGGUGGGAAGGCUCAGCCUCUACUACCCUACCACCAACAUCCACCUCUGACGCCAUGGGCUAACAUAAUAAAGCAGGAGGCUUUACUUACAGAAGAGUUCUUGUAUUUCCACAUAAUAUACUAUAUAAAACUAGUCCUUAAAAGCAGCAAUGCUUGUGUAGUAAUUGCUGAACAGUAAUUACUUAAGAGUGAUUACUUAGAAGUAAUUACUGUUGUCUUGUUCAGCAUAUCACUUAGGCCUCAUCAGAAAUAAUGACAAACUACAAAAUGGUAAAUCCAUAUCCAAAGACUUCACAAACACGAGGUUCACAAACAUUUGAGGUGAUGCUGGUUUGGUUUUUAAAUAAUUAUCAAAAUCUCAAAUCAAAUAAUUUUACUGAUUUUACAAACCCGAACAUCUUUUUCCUUAUAAUACAUAGUUCAAAGUACUCCCUACCCUUUGAAUCCAAGCAUCAAUCACCAGUAACCAAGUUCGAAUCAGAGUAAAAACAUACUGCUCUCCAGACACUACCUUAAAUUUACUGGAACAAGUACUGGCCAAGUUAAACAAGCAAUAAAAGUGGGGUUGUGGGGUACUGACUGAUUGGUGGGUUCCUCUUUUGUUCUUCAGUGCUCAGGGCAGCAUUUAAGCAGUUUUGUUUCUUUUUUCUCCCUCUGGCUCUGUUACCUACUGAUGUAGCUGGUGUUGCAUGAGAAAUUGCCUCUUUUCAGUGGGUGGAACCAGAUUUUCUAUCAGCUGCAGUUAGGUCUCCUAAUAUAUUUAAUGAGCCUAGAUAGGUAGGAAAUGGAGUAUUAGGAGCUGCUGAUUUAAAAAAAAAA